GAAGUCCACACAUAUACCAAAAGAAUAGAAAUAUCAGAAACAAUGUUAUAUAUAGCAGAAACAUAUUUAUAAUAACACUUACAAAACAUCAGAGUACGCGGAAACAGAAUCUAAACUUCUUAGGCACCAUUCUUCUCAGGGACGGUUGACUGGGGGCUCCGUACGCCAAGCACUUCUGAUAAGCUUCCAGAAAACUCCAUAGCAUCUUUAUCCUUCUUUUGAGCAACACUUUACUACACACUGGGGGUGUGGGGGAAAUAGCAAGGGUGAGUUCAUGUCAAACUCAACAAGUACAGACGGAAAGUAUAAUGACAUGCAAGACUUAAAAACAAGGUAAAGCUUACUUGGUUGCACUGUAAGUCCCAGGGGGCCGCGCCCUGACUAAGUCCUUAUGGAGAGCAGAGACGGGUACGCCCGGCAAACUGGACCACCAGCAGUACCCGCUCCCCCUGUCAUCACCAUCAUCACGAUGCUCGUAAGCAUCCAACAUCGCCAUCACCGCAGUAACCAAAGGUUCAUCACAGUUUAAGCAACAAGUUAAGUACAGAGUAGUUCUUGUUUAAGCAUGUGUAUAAGAUGAGUAUAGCAGCUAAGCAAACCUAGUAUAGCCUAGACUACCCAUAUACAUAACCCCAGGUGAACAAGGAGUAGUAAGUAAAGCUAGUCAUGUCGUUAGGGUUUGCAUUCAUUGGACACGUGCAUAUAAAGUAAAUGACAUUAAUGAGUAGGUUUAAAAUGAUCAAACGGUGUCUGCACUUGCCUUGAAUCCCAGUGUACAACUGCUCAGAUGUCUUUGGCUUCUUUCUUCUAAUCUCCAACUUAUGCUUCGACUGUCGGUCCUUAGCUCCUGGUCUUCACUGUUGACGAACCACGCUUCUUCUACUCGUAGCAACCAAGCAACACAAACAGACAAACAACAAUCACGACUAAAAACAAGCAUCAAUCAAAAGAAAAGCUUAGAAGGAGCGCACUAAACGACACGACUUAUUGCUACGAUCGUGGCAACGUAAGAACGAUUAAGAACAGAGCUAUCGUUAACGGACACGACUUUCGAGAUUUGCAACAUAACGGAGAACACAAACUAUACGCUUGGAUUAUUUUAUUAGAUGAAUUAUGGUGACAGAUAUUUAGGAGAAAAGUCAUAAUGGAGUUAAACAAAUCAUAAUUAUCAAAGAAGUAGUAUAGUUCUAGUUAUAUUCUAUUUAUGAAUAAUAAUAAAUUAUUUAAGUCAUUUUAUCAUUUAUAGUUUAGAAAAACGUAGGAUUUGUGACAUAUGUUGAACAAGGCAAAUUAAUAAUUAAUAAAUACACAUUUAAGUUGACAAGUAAUUAUAAAAAGGUCAAUAUUUUCAUAGGUUACUUUUAUUUAGAAACAAAUAUGUGCAAUCAUGAAUCAAAUUAUGUUUUAUUUAGAAAGAACCUUUACAUACCUUAAUCAUAUUGUAGUUAUAAACCUUUAACAUUAUUUAAGUCACUUAAAAGAUUUAUGGUUUAGAAACAUAAAACAUGCGACAAAAACAAACAAAAGCAUAGAUGGCUCGAGGUUGAACUUAGUGAGUUAUAUUAGAAAGGUAUUAAUGUUGACACUAAUCAUAUUAGCAUUGUUUAUUAAAGUCCAAACUUAUAUACCUAAAUUGCUUGUAAUUAAAAAGACAUUAGUGUUGGUAUUAAUCAUAUUAUAAUUAAUUUAUGAAAGACCAAUAUAUAAACCUAACUUUAUUUUAUUAAACAUGACAUUAGAUAAAUAUUAUCUAAAUUAAUUACAUGCUUUAACUAAAUAAAUUUUAAUUAAGAAAUAUUUAAACCAAUAUGAAUCGUGCUACUAUUUGUAUAUUUAUAAAAGUUAAAAUUAUAAUCCUAAGUUGCUUUUAAUUUAGAAGAGAAUUGAUUAUUCAUUAAUCAAAUUCGUAUGAUUAAAUUUAUAAACAAAUAAAGGCGCUGCUAGUGCGUAGCUUACAUCGAUACGACCCCGACACAACAAACAAAUUAUAACCCUAGAUUAGUUUUCAUUGGAAAGCUAUUAAAUAAUAUUAAACAAUUGUAUUUAAAUCAAUAAAUUCAGAAAUAAGUUACAUGAUAAAUAUUUAUACUACUGCAUAGAGCGCGGCGAUACGAAACUAACGCAACCAGAACGACUCAAAUCGGAAUUUAAACGAAUAAACAAUAAGGAUUUAAAGUUUGAUGGCAAAACUGUAAUUAUCGUCAUCUUCUACCUUUGACCGGAGAGGAUCGUGACCUCUAUGGCAGCCAUGGUGCGCUGCACCCGCGCCGGAGGCAGGGGCCUCGGCCGCGGACUUGCUGGCCGGCAACG
rnacentral:lncRNA from 1 species